rnacentral:rRNA from 1 species
UACGGAGGGUGCGAGCGUUGUCCGGAAUCAUUGGGCGUAAAGAGCUCGUAGGCGGUGUGUCACGUCGUUCGUGAAAACCUGCAGCUUAACUGUGGCGUGCGGUCGAUACGGGCAUCACUGGAGUUCGGCAGGGGAGACUGGAAUUCCUGGGUGUAGCGGUGAAAUGCGCAGAUAUCAGGAGGAACACCGGUGGGCGAAGGCGGAUCUCUGGCCUUACCUGACGCUCGAGGUGCGAAAGCUAGGGGAGCGAACAGG